rnacentral:lncRNA from 1 species
AACCCGAUCAUAGAGCAGACAACAGCAGAAGGUCACCAACAGGUCUUCAAUGCAACGAGAAAUUCUCGCACCCGGAGGCGUCCUUCAGCUGGCCCCUAAACAAAUAUAUACUAGUUCAGUGAUAAUAAACACCAUACUAAACUCCAAAUUGUACACAAGAAACUAAAAGUUAAAAUAAUACAAGACUAACAAAGGCCAGAGGCUCCUGACUUGGGACAGGCGCAAAAAUGCGGCGGGGUUAAACAUGUUUGUGAG